GACGAACGCUGGCGGCGUGCCUAAUACAUGCAAGUUGAGCGAUGAAGCUUGGUGCUUGCACCAAUUUGAAGAGCAGCGCACGGGUGAGUAACGCGUGGGGAAUCUGCCUUUGAGCGGGGGACAACAUUUGGAAACGAAUGCUAAUACCGCAUAACAACUUUAAACAUAAGUUUUAAGUUUGAAAGAUGCAAUUGCAUCACUCAAAGAUGAUCCCGCGUUGUAUUAGCUAGUUGGUGAGGUAAAGGCUCACCAAGGCGAUGAUACAUAGCCGACCUGAGAGGGUGAUCGGCCACAUUGGGACUGAGACACGGCCCAAACGCCUACGGGAGGCAGCAGGAGGGAAUCUUCGGCAAUGGACGAAAGUCUGACCGAGCAACGCCGCGUGAGGGAAGAAGGUUGUCGGAUCGUAAAACUCGGUUGGUAGAGAAGAACGUUGGUGAGAGUGGAAAGCUCAUCAAGUGACGGUAACUACCCAGAAAGGGACGGCUAACUACGUG
rnacentral:rRNA from 1 species